ensembl:lncRNA
CAGGAGAAGCUAUAGUCAGAGUGAAGUAGAUUGGCAGACCAGACCAAGUAGAGCACUGUGCAUCCACACAUAGGGACAGCAGCAAGCAAGAAAGGUGCAGAGACACUAGUUUCUGAGUUAAGAAGUGGACUCAGUGGCAAAUUUCGCAGGGCCCUGAAAUUAGGAAUUAGUAUGAUGUCAUUAGAAAUCUUUGUGAGAGCAAUUAGGGGUAUGUCUACACUAGAAAAAAUCGUAAGCAUUUUUCUGCACUGGCAUAGUUCUACUGGUGCUUUCAAUGGUAGAAAACUGUAAUACAGACAGGUCAUGGACAUUUUUACCACUGUGGCCAGAGCAAAGUUAAAUGAUCCAGUGAUACAAACACAUGCACUGUAUCUAACCUACCCAUCCCAAUGCUGGAUCAGCAGUUGGGUUGUGCCAGUGCAGAAGAAUAGUGAGUGGAUAUAGAUGGCAUAAGUUCAAAGGUAAAGUGGUGUACACUGGGAAGGGAGGGAGGGCACAAGGCCUAUUUUUUUGUUAGGAGGUGGGAAACUAGAGUGUGUGUACUUAAAGGGAAAGGAACCAGAAGAGAACGAGAGGCUGAGGGGAGUGAGGUUAACAGUUGGGAAGAUAGGAGGUUUGGGGGUUAGAGGUGCAAAGCAAGUGAAUAACCUCAGAGUCUAGGAAAAGGUGCUGGGAAGAGAACGGAGGGAAGGAAGUCUCAAUGGAACUAAUCUAUCUUUGCAAAGGGUCUUGCUGACCCUUUGCAGAGAGGAAGGGAGCUGCAGGAAGGGAGAGGGUCUUAGGAGGGAGGCCAACAAGUGAUGGCGGUUGCAAGCCGGAGAUGUAACAUGUGGAAGAAGUAGUGGUGAUAGGCAAUGAAGAUGGCAGAGCUGAAUGAGGAGAGUAUAUAUAUUUAUAGUGAAGAAAAGCCAUUUGGACUCAGCAUUUCCUCCAGAGCAGCUCACAAGGUGGUUUUUGGGAGCAGUCAAUACCUUUUGAUUGGACUCAUAGAUUGUACAGUGCGUUUAUGUUUCCUGAGCAGAAGACUGGUACAACGGAGGGCUAGUCAACAGUGGGUGUUUUUCACAGAUGUAGCUGCAUCAGUGCAAAUUCCUACUGCACCUGUGCAGCUCACCCACAUCCAAGCUGUUCUUCACAUAAGAGUUACAGUAAGCUGUACCAUGCAAUUCACAUCUUAGACCAAUGCAGCACAUCUACAGUAGAGAUUUAUAUCGGGGUACACUAGGUAGCUAUACUGAUGCAAAAACACAACAAGGUAGACAGUCUCUUGCCCAGCUCUGUUUUGCCAUGAGAAAUUUUGAGAUUUUGAAAAAAAAUUAUUGUCCAAAAUAGGGAUGAAAAGUCAGAAUCUCAAAAUUUUGGCAAACUGAAAAUCCAAAAAAUAUUAGAUCAGGUCAAAAUAUUUCAUUUCAAUAAUUUCAAUUAGGGUGGGGUUUUUUUUUUUACUUCAACCCCCCCCCCCCCCCCCCCCNNNNNNNNNNUACUGAUGCAAAAACACAACAAGGUAGACAGUCUCUUGCCCAGCUCUGUUUUGCCAUGAGAAAUUUUGAGAUUUUGAAAAAAAAAUUAUUGUCCAAAAUAGGGAUGAAAAGUCAGAAUCUCAAAAUUUUGGCAAACUGA